UGGCGGGAAAUGGCAGAAAGCAGAGGAGAUCGACAGUUGACUCUGCCUAAGUUUAUGUUUAUUAAUGGGACGCACGUGAAGCUUAGGUAUUGGGAAGCGAGUGGGAUUGAUUUGUAGGAGGACGCCAGUUGCAGACGCCAUAGAUUUUCUCGCUGUAGACCGGAGGACGAGAGACACCCAGCAAGAUAUAGUCUCACACUCCCAAGUUGCU
rnacentral:misc_RNA from 1 species